UCUUAACCGUCAAAAAAAAGCCAGAGUUAAGUUUGUACCCAAACAGAGCAUGAUCAUUGCACAACAAAUUCACAUACAAACAACCAAGUAUAUUUGGGAAAACACAAACUUUACACAACCGCAUACGACGUAUUAAAAUCUAACCGAUCGAUCCACGUGCAGUUUAUCCAUCAGCAUUACUGAAGAAAAAGCUUCUCCCUCACAAUUUCCUUUUUUGUUCU
rnacentral:lncRNA from 1 species